CGAAUGCUGACAUAAGUAACGAUAAAGCGGGUGAAAAGCCCGCUCGCCGGAAGACCAAGGGUUCCUGUCCAACGUUAAUCGGGGCAGGGUGAGUCGACCCCUAAGGCGAGGCCGAAAGGCGUAGUCGAUGGGAAACAGGUUAAUAUUCCUGUACUUGGUGUUACUGCGAAGGGGGGACGGAGAAGGCUAUGUUGGCCGGGCGACGGUUGUCCCGGUUUAAGCGUGUAGGCUGGUUUUCCAGGCAAAUCCGGAAAAUCAAGGCUGAGGCGUGAUGACGAGGCACUACGGUGCUGAAGCAACAAAUGCCCUGCUUCCAGGAAAAGCCUCUAAGCAUCAGGUAACAUCAAAUCGUACCCCAAACCGACACAGGUGGUCAGGUAGAGAAUACCAAGGCGCUUGAGAGAACUCGGGUGAAGGAACUAGGCAAAAUGGUGCCGUAACUUCGGGAGAAGGCACGCUGAUAUGUAGGUGAAGUCCCUCGCGGAUGGAGCUGAAAUCAGUCGAAGAUACCAGCUGGCUGCAACUGUUUAUUAAAAACACAGCACUGUGCAAACACGAAAGUGGACGUAUACGGUGUGACGCCUGCCCGGUGCCGGAAGGUUAAUUGAUGGGGUUAGCGCAAGCGAAGCUCUUGAUCGAAGCCCCGGUAAACGGCGGCCGUAACUAUAACGGUCCUAAGGUAGCGAAAUUCCUUGUCGGGUAAGUUCCGACCUGCACGAAUGGCGUAAUGAUGGCCAGGCUGUCUCCACCCGAGACUCAGUGAAAUUGAACUCGCUGUGAAGAUGCAGUGUACCCGCGGCAAGACGGAAAGACCCCGUGAACCUUUACUAUAGCUUGACACUGAACAUUGAGCCUUGAUGUGUAGGAUAGGUGGGAGGCUUUGAAGUGUGGACGCCAGUCUGCAUGGAGCCGACCUUGAAAUACCACCCUUUAAUGUUUGAUGUUCUAACGUUGACCCGUAAUCCGGGUUGCGGACAGUGUCUGGUGGGUAGUUUGACUGGGGCGGUCUCCUCCUAAAGAGUAACGGAGGAGCACGAAGGUUGGCUAAUCCUGGUCGGACAUCAGGAGGUUAGUGCAAUGGCAUAAGCCAGCUUGACUGCGAGCGUGACGGCGCGAGCAGGUGCGAAAGCAGGUCAUAGUGAUCCGGUGGUUCUGAAUGGAAGGGCCAUCGCUCAACGGAUAAAAGGUACUCCGGGGAUAACAGGCUGAUACCGCCCAAGAGUUCAUAUCGACGGCGGUGUUUGGCACCUCGAUGUCGGCUCAUCACAUCCUGGGGCUGAAGUAGGUCCCAAGGGUAUGGCUGUUCGCCAUUUAAAGUGGUACGCGAGCUGGGUUUAGAACGUCGUGAGACAGUUCGGUCCCUAUCUGCCGUGGGCGCUGGAGAACUGAGGGGGGCUGCUCCUAGUACGAGAGGACCGGAGUGGACGCAUCACUGGUGUUCGGGUUGUCAUGCCAAUGGCACUGCCCGGUAGCUAAAUGCGGAAGAGAUAAGUGCUGAAAGCAUCUAAGCACGAAACUUGCCCCGAGAUGAGUUCUCCCUGACUCCUUGAGAGUCCUGAAGGAACGUUGAAGACGACGACGUUGAUAGGCCGGGUGUGUAAGCGCAGCGAUGCGUUGAGCUAACCGGUACUAAUGAACCGUGAGGCUUAACCUUACAACGCCGAAG
rnacentral:rRNA from 1 species